rnacentral:lncRNA from 1 species
UUCAGCCUGGGGUGACAGAGCGAGACCCUGUCUCAAAAAAAUAAAAAAUAAAAAAAAGAAAUUAUUAGUUGUUGGCAAUAUGAUUCAAAAUAUAUUCUGUGACUUUUCUUGAUAUUGUUGAAUAUUUUAAAGAUUUGAAUUUAUGUGAAUAGGGUAAUAAAAACUCAACAUUUCUUCAAAUCAAAAAUUCAAAUGUAUAAAACAUGAUAUGUUCCAAACUCUUGAUCCGUGCUCCCAUUUUACUUUAAUAUAAAUGGUCAAGUCGGAAAGGGGAGUAAGAGAAAGGACUCUGCUUAAUGCUUUUUUGGUUCCAUUUAGUGUGUCAGAGACUUCCUUUUCUUUUGAUGUACUGGACAAUGCAGCAUUACUAUUUGCUAUUAAACCCUAUUAGAGAAAAACAUUUAAGGCAAUUAGCACAGUCUUAGCAUGUACAAAUGCGCAAUAAAUGUUGAAUGAAUUAAUCUCAUAGUUUCUACUUAGUCUUAUUCAAUUGUAUAAUGCAAAUAAGUGAGAGGACAGGAUCUGGGGUCAAACCUCAGUUUAAACUGAGGCUUAUUAUGGAAAAGUUCGCUUGCAAUUGCUUACUGAGAAUGUCAUCCAUGCCAUUAAAUUGGUACUUGCAGGAAUGUUUCCAGUAAUUAAACAGAAGCUGACGGGAUGGUUUCUUUAUUCAAGAUAAUUAAUUGUCUCUAGAGAAGGUGUGUUUCCAUGAGGUUAGAAAGAAGGCAGCUUCUUGAGGGCUUGAGUAGGGUUCGUUCAAAAGCAUUUACUUGCCAGGCAUUUCCCGCCACAGAAAUGAUUUACAAGAUAACUUCAUAGAGAUCUUUUCCUAGUAGCCAAGAAAAAAAACAGCCUCUGGGAAAAAACCCAAAACCAAAGCUUUCUAGCUGGCUUGAGCAUGAGGAAAGGAGUUGCCACCUUUCCGGAUGCCAUUUCCACAGCAGAGUGGUAGGAAAGCAGAAAUGGAAAGCAAAACGUCUCACUCCUAGACAUGUGAGUUGGCUUCCUGGCCAAUGGAAAAGGAUAAACAAUGAGGCAGGGCCUGUGACCUUGUGGGUGAAACUGGGCAUGAAUGCAACUCUCUGAAUCCACGGCGAGCCUGGAGAGCUUAGCUUAGAAAUGGACAGAAACGAAGGGCAGGCGAGUGAAGCGGAGCUGACGUUGCACCUGAGGAACAGCCUUUGGAAAGAGCUGCUGCCUGGCAGCCGGUCACCACAGAACACUGGAACCACCACUGCUCCCCCAGCCUGGUAACAGCGGGUCCAGUGUUCCAGCCUGGGCAGUGUCCAGCUGGCAGGGCUGAGGUGGUUGCGCCCACAUCUCAGGCUGCAUGGUCCAGCGAGCUCAGGUGUUUGAUCUUUUUUCGUUACCAUGGUGAGAAGUGUGCUAGCGGGGAAAAAAGACAAAUGUAUCCCAUAGAUGAGUAUAUAUGGGGGCGAGGGGUUCUCCAUGAAAUGGUCCUCAUUGAUUUUUUUGUUUCAUUUGUUUUUAUGUUUUAUCUUGAUGGAGAAUUUGUGAUUUUCCUUCUCAGAAAAAUAGAGCUAUACUUACAUUUCAUAAUUUAUACUGCUGAUUUAUGCCACUGCGUUUUGACAGUUGUAUCAUAUCACCCAGCCUUCUCUUCUCCAGGAAGUGGUGUAUUCAUGGGUCCCCUGAGAUUCCAGCACUGCUUAUGAUGAGUGUAGAAAUUCUGUCUUGUCUGUCUUGCAGAAUGACAGAUUAGAAUAUGGCAUAGAUUCUUAAUGCUGUCUGUUGGGAAAACAAUAUUCUAAAGAUGAUUAGAAAGACAGUUUUAAUAUUAUGUGGAAUUCUGUUAUUACAUAUUACCAUUUAGAAAUACUACAGAGAAUUUAUAAUGAAAGCAUAAAAUAAUUGAAUGAGGUUUUUAAUAGUCCAUUAGAAAAUUGUUGAAAAUUUUUUCCUAAUUCCUUUAAGGGAAUUUUAUUAUAAUUGUCUUGAUUGUUGUUUCAAUCAAAUGGCAGUAGUGAAAAGGGCGAAAUUAUCAAGGCAGGGGGUAGGAGGAGGAGGCGCUGGGUAGGAUGCUCUGAUUUCUUAAGAAGAAUAGGAUAGCUGUAAAGAAACCAGACAUGAUUGCUUGAGAAUUUUCCUUUCAAAAUGAUAAUAUCACACUUUAUAUCAUUUAUGUAGCAUUUUUCCUAAUUUGACUUUUUAUCUGGCCAUGACUUUUAAAUUCAGUUAUAAAUAUUAAUUGCCUGAAGUGUUAUAAAAUCCAUUUUUAUUUGAGAGAUACUCACAAGCAAAAUUAUAUGCUGCAUUUCUCGUCUUAGCACUUCACUCUGAAGUGCAUACUUAAUGGUAGUUCAUUUUAGGUAUGUUAUUGAUUGGAUUACAUUUUUAAAAUGCAAAUGAGUAAGUGCGUUUAUGGAUGGCUGGGUUUUAUUUCUUUGCCAGUAUUUCUUCCUGGUAUCCUGAAGUUUCUCCUCAUGUGAAGUAUACAAUUAAGCAUUCCUGUCAUACUUAAAUUAAUUAGACCUUUUAUUCACUAGCAUUGCCACCCCAGAGGAACAGAGUGGUGCAGAGGAGUUCAUCAGCAAAAUAUACACUAAACAAUAAAAAAAAAAAACCUUUUUCUCUAAUUCUUUUGAAACAAAACAUCCAAAUAAUAAAAUAGUUUCUAGGUAGUUGUCUAUCUUCAUGAUCAUGUUAUAAAAGAUAUAAUCCUUAUAAAAAUAAGUUCAUAUUGUUUCAAAAAUUGUAUGUGAUUAUAAUUCAGUGAAAUUUGGGAAACCAGAAUGGCUUUGUCAUGAUUACCUAUUUUCUUAUGUACAGAUAAAAUUAAAUUCUGUCUCUGUGUUUACUGCA